rnacentral:lncRNA from 1 species
GGAACAUGCAAGCAUGUGAAUUAGUAAGGAUGUUCGAUCUUCAGUUCUGUAAACUAUUGAUUUUACUCUGAUCAGAUCUUUAUUUGGUAACCCAAACUCAGAAUGGCUUAGCCUGAUAUCGCUGUACAAGUAAAAUAUUUAUUUUUACUAUCAGCAAAGAAGAAUAUGUUAUUAUUUCAAGUAAGCAAGAGAAAGGGGAAGGUUAGCUGAUGAAUAGCAGCCUGCAGGUGAGGUUAUCCUGUGGCUGGUAGAAAGCUCAUACCCACUGAGCUGUAGCAUUUCUGGAUAAGUGAUUCCCAUGCUUUAGAUAGAUUGACCUUUUAUUGGAAUCCAUGUUCUGGUGAAUCAGCUGCUACUAUAUACAAGAAGGACACUCCAGACUAUGCUGUAACCAGUUGUCUCUGAUCUUCUCUUGUCAGCCUUCGCCUGUUAACUUUACUGCCACAGAGAGAAAUAUUUCCACCAAGGAAGAGAGAAAUGAAAGGAGACGAGAAUGUCACAAGUGGCAGAACUUCUGCUGGGAUUUCAUUCUCCACCCCUGCUUGGGACUCCUUCCUGCUUCUUCCUAUCCUAAUGCAAACAUGGUCUAGCUUCAGAAUAGCUGUUAUCCAAAAGCUUCUGGCAGAGGACGUACAAGCCCACGCUACCACCCCAACCAUACAUGUGUAUGUCUUGACCUUUCAAUUUCCUUGAGAGCCAUACCCACUGGAAAUGACUAUUAAAACAAAGAAAAGCUUCACCGCAUUCUGGCAUUUUCAGGGAAAAAAAAAAUCCAG